rnacentral:misc_RNA from 1 species
GUUCAAUGAUGAAUUCAGAACAUGCACUACCAUCUGAUCUUAUAGCAUAUCUUAUUUGGUUUUUAAAGGUUUUGGGUUCCCCACUUUUCUGUAUUGUGAUUUGGUCUAAAAGUGUUGAAGUUUUUAAUCAUUGAUGCAGUCAAUGAUGAUUUUUUCCCAAAUUACUGAUUUGACAGUGAUUAAUAUAAAAGAUCACCAUCUUUCGG